GGGGCCUUGUCAAAAUGAACAUUAUCAGUCAAUUUAGAGAAAAGAAUAACCAUUACUCUAAACGAGAGGUCAGCAAACUUUUGCAGUAAAGGUCUAGAUAGUAAAUAUUUGAGGGCUUUUAAGGGAUGUACAGUCUCUGUAGCAACUACCCAAGUUCGCUAUUGUAAUACAAAGAAGAGCAGCCAUAGAUAAUACAUAAAUGGAUGGAUGUCACUGUGUUCAAUAAAACUUUAUUUACAAAAAUAGACAGGGGCCACAUUGGGCCUAAUGAGCUGCUCUAAGCCAUAGAGUACAUGGGAAUGUAAACCAUACUGCUUAUUUUUUUUAAUUGUAUUAAUGACAUGUAUUCUACUUCCUUUGUAAUAGGUAAGGAGUUUCUGCAAAGAAAGAAAAAUUAGGGGUUAGUAAAUUUGUUACUUAUUUGCAAGACUAUUCAGUAUAUCAUGGUUAAUAGUCUCUAGAUUUUCUCAGCAUAAGAAAUGAGAUGAAAUUCUGUUCAUGUUUUAAAUACUGCUGUUGAGGCUAGUUCAUUAAAGAAAGGUGACUAUGGUAUUUGAUAAAGUACCUUGUCUUUCAAGAAGUUUGCUUUUGUGGUAUUAUCUGUGGCACAUUAUUUUCUGUCUUGGUACUUUCUCUCAGUGGGAUAUUUAGGCUCUACUUUCCUGCUUGGCACUUUUGUUAAUAAUGACUUUAAAAAUCCGCACUUCUCUUUUUAAAUUACUGCAUGGAGUCAUAGUUUCUCUCCUUGAUAGUCAAAAGGCCAAGAAGUGCAACUAUGUGAAAUAAACUUUUAAAACAAGGCCCCAAGUGCACUGCAAGUUGACUUGAAAUAAUUAGUCCCUGGAGUUUGGACACCCACAAAGUAUAUUUCGGAACACAGAUUCAGAAAUGUCUCCGUGACAGCCUGUGGCGGGAAGCCAUCACAGCAGCAGGGCCCGUUGCUCCUGGGACAUCCCGCACUGUAGAGUUACUGUGGCAGUGCCUGGAAGCAAUGGCCCCUGCCCGCAUGGCUUUUCCACUUCCUCACAGCCCAGAACCAUGACAGGCCCCUCAGAGCUUGGGCCCUCUCCAGUCCUUAAGCAAGUGUUCACCCUCACAGGAAGAUGUUACCCUGUUUUAUCAGCAAGUAACAGAAAACCCAGAUGACUUCAGCUUACAAAGUAAAGACAUUUCUCUCCCAUUUCAAGAAGUGUGGAGAUGAGUACUAGAAAGCAUGAUGUAGAGGCUCAGCGUUGUCACAGAGGACCCAGGACGCUUCUGCCUUCCUACACUGCCAUCUCAGUGUUGGGGAAUGACUUCCCUCAUGGAUGCGAGAAGGUUACUGAAACGCCAAGUAUAACACCACUUCCUCACAUGGCACCACGCUUUACAGGAAGGGGGUGGGCAUGAACAGAGGGGAUUCCAAAUGCCAUUCUCUUUGAGCAGGGGACAUUUUUCUCAGAAGCCCCCGGUGGUUUUCUUCUUGGGACCUGCUUGCUUGAACAGCAUCACCUGCCUCUGGCAUAGGGGAAAGAGAUUGCCGUCAUUGGCUUAGACCAAUCAUUACCUUCCCUGGUACUGGACACAUGCCACAUCAGGGUUCUAUUGGAAGACAAGAGAAAGGGGUGGCUACAGGGUGAGCAGCCAACCCAGGUCUGCCACACCCAGCUGAACCCCCUAGACCGUGGUCAGAGCACCUUUUGCUUUGACCCAGGAAUCCAAGCCUUGCCAAGAUUCUAUGGCCAGUCCUCUGGGGUUAUUGCCAGCAGUUUGUUCUGAUUGUGGAUCAUCUGCAGACACCUGAUUCCCCAUCAGUGCUUUUGCUACAUGGCAGGGCUUCUUGAUGCCCACCAGGAUCGAGCUUGCCGAGUCUUUUGGAUGUCGUGUGUUGUCCACCCAGCCAAGUCUUUUUUGGGAAUAUUUAUGGAAAUAUUUAUAUAUAAAUAAAUAAUAUUUAUAUUUCCAGAGGUGCUCUGCACCUCUGUCUAUCCCUUUAGGGGGAUAUGUAAGCCACUUUGGGGCCUUGGUCCCUUAAAAAUAAUUUCAUUUUUCUUAGUAAAAUCAUAUAAUGUCUGCAUUUUUCCUUUGCAGCACAGAAAUACAUGACUGGUAUUUUUUAAUAGAUGACUUUUCUGGAAUAGAUAUUUUUUUGAAAAUUUAAAAUAAAUUCGAAGAGUUCUCUUCCACCAGUCUUAAUUUCAUGAAAUAGUUUAAAUAUUAUUUAAUUCCAUGGCCCAAACUAUUGGCUCUUGUUGUGUUUUUUUUAAAUAUUAUGUAUAUAAAAUUAGGAAGUCAUUUAAGAACAGCAAGAAUUGAUGUAAUCUGCGAGAUGCCAAAUGGAACUAAUCCUGAAAUACUUUCUAUCUGUAGAGAUUGAUAGUUUACAAAGCACUUUCAUACAUAUUAUUUCAGUACAUUCCAUAACUAUUAUCUGCAUUUGACAGAUGAAGAAAUAAGGGUGUAAGAGCUGAGGUGACCUGGACAGGAUCCUACCAGCCUUCACAGAGUUGGCACUGGAGCCUGGGCCUUCACAGCCUGCCUGUGAGACACUUUCCUGUUUCCAGCACUCAAGUUCCAGUGUCUAUGGCAGCAUACAAUAAGAUUACAGAAGGACAUCAUAGCCACAGAUAACCCAGCCAUGUUACCUGUUCAUUGCAACCUCUGUGACUAGGCCCAGACUUCUUAGGACAUUUCCUUCCCCGUGCGCUGGAUUUGAACAUGCAGAUGUCACUCACAUCCUACAAGCUAAGGUGUGUAGGUUUGUGCUGGGACUAGGUCAUAUCCAUCUUUUAAAAGUCCCAGGACAACCCCAGCAGCGGUUUUAGAGAUGAGGAAGAGAGGAGACAGAACACCAAGUUCUGCUGGUUACUCUUCUCUUGGACUUCUCAGGUGCUUCAUUAAUAUCCUCUGUGAUGCCAUUUUGAUGCCUUUUUUCCGAUGGCAUUUUGCAGCUUGCCCCAAGUGUCCCUUCUGUUUUUCUAAUGUAGGACAAAACCCAAGGAUGAGUGGCUGCGGCUGCCAGUCAGCAUUCUCUGCAGAUGUUUUUGGUGUGUGUCGCUGGGGUUAACCCGCUGUCUUAAUGUCUGCCUGCUUGGUUUUGCAUGCAAGGAUACAUUAUACAAGAAAAUUCCAUCGAGAUCGUGUACAAGUAAAAUCAGCUUAUUUUUUCCGAAGAGGCAGGGGAGCUAAUUCUUAGCAGAGUGAGCUGUAGAGUCUCUCCGGAAUGCAACACACAGACCUUUGUAUUAGAAGUGAAAUAUUUAGAUAGGGAUCAUUAUGGAGCUCUUUUUACAGCAAGGCAGGCCUGAUAAACAGAGAGAGAGAGCUGAGAAACGAAGCACAAAGGAGGUAAUAAUAUCUGAUUAGCUAAGCAGCUGGAUAACCGAAGGAGAAUUUGUUAAAAACCUAUCAAGACAUCAAAGCUAGAUGUGAGUUGCUCUGUUAGCCCAGGCCACUUGUGGAGCCAUCUCUGGAAUAUUACUGAGCAUCUAAUUGGCUGCUAUUUUUCCCCUAGCGUCACUUCUUCACCAAGGGAUCUGAGCUGUAACCUGACCUGUAGCUGUCAUCAGGGCUUUUUUCCAUCCCUGUCAUGGCAUGGGAUCCCAGUAUGGAGAAGCUUAGUUGGUAUUCUAGUCAUCCGCAUCGUACUUGACCACGUGUGAACAAGUAACCUCAUGUUUCUGGGGACAGGCAUGGAGAAACUUGAGAACUUGAUCCCCUUGGGGCCCUUGGAGGAUCGCUUGCACCGAGCCCUGGAUUUUGCAAGUGACUUGUUUCCCAAUCUAUGGCACAUCCAAGCCUCUUUGGUUUUCUUUUUCCCCCUUCACACGGAUAUAUUUGAGGCACCAUACUCUAUCUGCCCAAGAAAGGAAGAGGGGCAAGGAAAACCAUGUAAGUCAUGCUUCUUUAAAUAUUUUGGCUUUUGCCAAAGCAGAUACAAGAACAAUUGGACUAUAAUGAGAGUUUUCCAUUGGCCUCAACUAUCCUGGACAGUUGAAUAGUUGGAUAGGUACCUGCUAUGGACCUGGUAGAGCUCCUUCUUAAAAUUAGACAGUGUGUACUGUCCAGAAUGUCUCAGCUUGCAGCCUGAGGGUGAUUAUGCUGAUCCUGGGGGCCCUGGGGAACUGUCUAGGGCACUAGGGGUGCCUGUGGUAACAGCAAAAGACCUCUCCCCCACGACACCACACUUGCACAUGCCUCAUGCACAGAGGAAGUAGGUGCCAGGUCUUUUCAGAGAAGAGCUUCAAAGCCCUGCUGCCACCUACAAGAGCCUUUGAUCCAUCUCUCGGCUGAAUCCAGCCCCUCACGGGGCUGAUCCGCUUUGAAACCAGAGCCAGCAGCCCCUCCACAACUCCCUCUGAGUUACCUCACACAGACGAGAGCAUGGGCUUCUGGGGGAGCUUCUUUUUAUCUUCCCUAAAUUGCAAGGGGUGCUUAUUUCAGCAUUGUCCUAUAGGAUUCUUAAGAACUGCCUGGGAGAUGUCGUAGGGCCAACACAAAGAAUUGCAAACGAGAGCCCGGUGUCUUGGAAACUUUCUCUACAGUUUAGUACGGAUAAACCACAUGCAGAUAGAAAAUAGGAAGAAAAGGAGCCGGGCGAAGUGGCUCAAGCCUGUAAUCCCAGCACUUUGGGAGGCUGAGACGGGCAGAUCACUAGGUCAGGAGAUCGAGACCAUCCUGGCUAACACGGUGAAACCCCGUCUCUACUAAAAAAAAAAUACAAAAAACUAGCCGGGCGAGGUGGCGGGUGCCUGUAGUCCCAGCUACUCGGGAGGCUGAGACAGGAGAAUGGCGUAAACCCGGGAGGCGGAGCUUGCAGUGAGCUGAGUUCCGGCCACUGCACUCCAGCCUGGGCUACAGAGCGAGACUCCGUCUCAAAAAAAAAAAAAAAAAA
ensembl:lncRNA